rnacentral:rRNA from 1 species
CGGCGGACGGGUGGGUAACACGUGGAUAACCUACCUAUAAGACUGGGAUAACUUCGGGAAACCGGAGCUAAUACCGGAUAAUAUUUUGAACCGCAUGGUUCAAAAGUGAAAGACGGUCUUGCUGUCACUUAUAGAUGGAUCCGCGCUGCAUUAGCUAGUUGGUAAGGUAACGGCUUACCAAGGCAACGAUGCAUAGCCGACCUGAGAGGGUGAUCGGCCACACUGGAACUUAGACACGGUCCAG